CAGCAGCCGCGGUAAACCGUAGGAUCCAAGCGUUAUCCGAAUUUACUGGGCGUAAAGCGCGUGUAGGCGGUGUGGUAAGUUGGAUGUGAAAGCUCCCGGCUCAACUGGGAGAGGUCGUUCAAGACUGCCGCACUAGAGGACGGUAGAGGGAAGUGGAAUUCCCGGU
rnacentral:rRNA from 1 species